rnacentral:lncRNA from 1 species
GGGUGAGCGUGGGGGAUGUGGCUGGGUGGGUGCCGGGGCUUCACCUCCAAGGCAGUGGCCGGAUCAUGAUUGAGGUGAUUGAGCCCCUGGAGCCUCUAGUGCCUGUGGAUUUUGGCAGUCUCGAGGCAGUGGUCCGGUUGGAGAAAGACAUCAUCUUCGCCCAUGGGCUCCACCCCAUGGACACCGACGGGUGGAGCCCAUGGAGUCGGUCCUGGAGGGCAGAUGUCUAUACCUGAGAUCUAACAAUGUAGUAGAAGGCAACUGUGCUGAAGAAUUACUACAAAACUCCCAUUGCGUCGUGAAGGAGUAUUUUGUGGCCCCCCAGGUAAUAUCUCUUUGCCAAAGCUGGAUGAACAAGAGCCUUUCUCAC